UCCUUAACCCACUGAGCAAGGCCAGGGAUCGAACCUGCAACCUCAGGGUUCCUAGUCAGGUUGUUUGUGCUGCACCAUGAUGGGAACUCCAGGCCCUUCUUUUCUAAUUUCAAAAUACAUUUGGAAUCCAACCUCUUCUUAGCGCCUGCGCUACUGUCCUGGGCCAGAGGAAGCCGCCUGGGGGAGGCACCUUCCCCCGUGGCCUGAAUUAUUUAAUAGGCUCCUCCUUGGUCUCCUGCCUGCCUCUGGCACCCCCAUCCCUGGCCCGUCAGCUGACAGCAGCCAGAGGAGGCCUGUUAACCUUAAGUCAGUUUGUGCCCUUCUGCUCAAAAUCGGGCAGAGUUCCUUCAUUUCCCUGCAAUAAAAGCUAAAGAUGUCACGAAGGCCCGAAUCUUAGAUCCUACCUCCCCUAUUUAGUCACUGCCUUAGCCUCCCUCCCCCCAGUCUCAGGCCCCUGCCUGGGACACUCCCCACCGCAAGGGCUUCCUCCUCCUCCUCCAGGUCUCUGCUCCCAAGUUCCUUAUUAGAGAGGCCUUCCUCCCAGACCACUUGAGUUGAAAAAAAGAAACUCAGCACCCUCUUUCCCAGCACCCUCCAUCCUCCCCAACCUGGCUUACUGUCCUCUUAGUAAUUGCCAUCCUCUAUCAUUCAAUUUAUUUUACUCAAUAAAUCGUGGAAUGGAGUGACCUCAAGCUGUGGGAACUCCUUGGAAAAUUCACUAGACUCAAGUUUGGAGGGCUUCUUGGGCAGAUCAGUGAACUCGGGUUGCAGGGGUUUCUUGGGGUGCUUGACUGCUACGUUUGGGGUAGGUUUUUUUUUAUUUUGGGAGGUACCUCUACUCCCCCUUCCCCCAGUGCCUGUGGAACACCACUGCCAAGAGGGCAGCAACUUGUCCCAUGCGUUGCGGUCCUCCCAGUGCCUGGCACACAGUAAAGAUGCUCAGGAACUCUUGAAAUAAAGAACAUUGAGGACACACAGAGACGGGCACAUACUCAGCCACGUCCAUUCAGACCAUCACGUUCUCAUGCAGACGCACACAGAGUAACCCUGAGAAGCCUGGAGGCAAAUGUGGGCACAGGACCUCACUGUCCUAGAUGCCGAGGACCAGCGGCAGGCCCCCUGGGCACAGGCGUGACCAUGGCUGGCACACCAAGUCAGCUCCAGAUACUGAGGUUGAAGAGGUGGCAGAUGACAACUCUGGUAGCUUGGAAGACGGAGGAGGUAAGAAGGGAAGCGGGAAGGGAUGGGGACCUGGUCCUUGGGUUCUGGCUCAUAGGAUGUUUAUGUUCCCUAGGAAAAGGAGGAGGAGGGAGAUGGUUCAAGAUGAGGGCCUUGUGGGCCAUGAGAACAGGCUCCUCAUCCAAAGAGCUGUGGGGAGCCAUUGAAGGGUACCAGGUAGGGGAGGGGCACAAAUGGAAGAGACCCCUGAUUCCAGGGGUGUUGCAGACUGGGGGAAGGGCAAGAGAGGUUGCCUCCUGUGCUCCAGGACUAGGCGAGGGUUGAGGCCUGGGCUAAGGGAUCGCAGGGCUGGAAGGGGGCAAGAUGCACAAGGUAUAACUACGUCUUGAAGGAUGACUGCCAACAAGAUGUCAGACUUCCAGACUCAGGAGGCUUUGACCCAUGGGGUUCUGGUGACAGCAGUAUGGUACUAGAUUUUGAACCCUGGCCCCAGCCUGACUUCUUAAGAAGGAAAGGAAGAAAAAAACCUAUUUGUCAGAAGGGUGUGCAGGAAGGGAGCCCAGGCUCUCCAGGGCUGGCCUUGACUCACCCUUCUCAGGGCUAGGGCAGGGGGAGAAGCGGAAGUGGGCAACCAGAGGGAGUCAGGGGAGGACAGCAAGAAGGAUGAUGAUGAGGCCUGAGCCCUGGGCUGCCAUGGAAUGUCCAGAUCUGGGGACCCUGCCACCUCCCUGAGAGUCAGCAUUGUCCUGAGGAUCUGGGAAGCUCCAUCUGGGCCAGCUUCCCAGCCUGUGCCCCCAACUCCUGGGACUUUUAAAAUAAAACCAGAAACCUC